GUGGGGAAUAUUGCACAAUGGGCGAAAGCCUGAUGCAGCAACGCCGCGUGAGUGAUGAAGGUCUUCGGAUUGUAAAGCUCUGUCUUUUGGGACGAUAAUGACGGUACCAAAGGAGGAAGCCACGGCUAACUACGUGCCAGCAGCCGCGGUAAUACGUAGGUGGCGAGCGUUGUCCGGAUUUACUGGGCGUAAAGGGUGCGUAGGCGGAUGUUUAAGUGAGAUGUGAAAUACCCGGGCUUAACUUGGGUGCUGCAUUUCAAACUGGAUAUCUAGAGUGCAGGAGAGGAGAAUGGAAUUCCUAGUGUAGCGGUGAAAUGCGUAGAGAUUAGGAAGAACACCAGUGGCGAAGGCGAUUCUCUGGACUGUAACUGACGCUGAGGCACGAAAGCGUGGGUAGCAAACAGGAUUAGAUACCCUGGUAGUCCACGCCGUAAAACGAUGAGUACUAGGUGUAGGAGGUAUCGACCCCUUCUGUGCCGCAGUAAACACAUUAAGUACUCCGCCUGGGAAGUACGAUCGCAAGAUUAAAAC
rnacentral:rRNA from 1 species